CUAUCUUACCGGGUGAGUUCUUGUAAAAAAAAAAUCUCUCUCGCACGCUGCUAUACCAGAAAAUGUAAAAAUAGCAUUUUUACAUUUCCAUAGCGCGUGCAGUUCUCUGUAUUAUUUCCCCAAGUUUUUAGCACUUUCCAGGUGCAGCUUUUGUCCGCAUGCAUGUAAUAUAUUAUCCAUCCUUAGUUUUUUUUCUUCCACUUAAAAAGUUUUCAAUUUAAUUUUUUUUAAAGUUGGUGACAGGGGUUCUUUUAAAAGUACCAAAAAUUGCGUAAAAUCGGUUCUUUUAGUCUCUUAUCGUAUUCACCUGUAGCAUAUCCUAACCUUCGGUAUUUUUUUAAUUUUGUUCUCCCCCCUUCACUCACUCCCCCUCCAUAUUCGCCACCUUUUUUUCAUGAGGAUUUCGCAUGAUAGACAGAAGAAGAAAACAAGCAACACAGAAGAAGACAAUGCAUGAGGAGAAAAAAAACCUUGUAACAAGUUUUUUUAUUUUACUCCAUUAUUCUGACUAACAUUUUACCCUGUGGAAACUAUAAUCCCCAAGCUGUGCACUGCUCCCACUAACCGUCACACAAAUACCACUGCUUUUUGGAUGGACAGCUUUAUAUAGGACUACAUGUGGAUUUCUCACGUUGUGUGGAGGACUUGGACAAUACAGGGACUGAAAGCUCCCAAUUAAAGUGGGAUUAAAAAGUGGACACUAACGGAGGACGGCAAUAAAUUGGCUCCCAAUCUGAUGCUGGUCGCACCGAGAAUGUAAAAGACAGUAUAUAACUUGCUGAAAUUCAAUUAUCAAGGACUUAUAUUGAUUUUCAUAUUAGCAUUCUCUUGCUUGAUGCAAAGAGGAAAAAAGGAAAUGUGAAAAAAAAAACACCUUUAAACUUCUAGGGAAAUGUUUUUGUGCAUUGGGAUAAGUAAAUGUGAUACAUAGAAACUGGACAGUGAUUUGUAUGAACAUAUGUACACCAAGACAAUGAAUCUCUCACAGGUAAAUAUACAGUAACUCAAUUUCCAUGUAAUUUAAUUUCUUGAAUGGCCAGUUCAAAAUAAAUUUACACUAUGAA